CGUCUAGGCUGGUUCGUAAGUCAUGUGUGAAAUCCCCCGGCUCAACCGGGGACCUGCACGUGAUACUGCGGAUCUUGAGUACGGAAGAGGAAAGCGGAAUUCCAGGUGUAGCGGUGAAAUGCGUAGAUAUCUGGAAGAACACCGGUGGCGAAGGCGGCUUUCUGGUCCGUUACUGACGCUGAAGCGCGAAAGUGUGGGGAGCAAACAG
rnacentral:rRNA from 1 species